rnacentral:sRNA from 1 species
GGGCUUCUGCUUUCUCGCGUCGCUGUUGUUCUUCUUCGCGUUGUUGUCUUUCCUUUCUCGCCUCAGCUUCUGCAGCUUCUCGGAGUCGUUUCUCUUCUUGAAGUUCAGCCAGAAGCUCUUGUACUCGGUCGUUGUCCAUUCUAGGCUGUGUGUUUAGGAAAACCCAGUUUGUGUCUGGGUUUCAAUUUGAAGAAAUCUGAUAUAUCUUGCGUGAUUCAUUCGGGGGGGUGGAUGGCGUAGUGGUAAGCGCUGUUCAUGGAAUGCUUUCUCAAGUAGGCACUUGGUGUUGGGGCCACCACUGCUGAGACAAGAAGGUAGUGGGUUCGAAUCCCAUCUUCUCCAAAAGGAUAUUAUCACAUCUUGGUGGAUAUUGGGGGUAUCCUUUCUUAUCUCAUUUCUAUUGGUAACUGCCACUGCAGGGUGGAGCAAUGUUCAACACUAUGUAUAUGGAGUGUCUAGAUGGAUUCAGUAUAGUGUGGGAUCCUAAGGUGUUGUGAUUCUUACAUGUCUAGUCUGAGUGACAAGGGACUGCUUAGUAUUGCAUGAGCAAUUGUGGGGCAAGGCACCCCUUGAGGGCUAGAUCCAGAACCUUGGAAUGGUAUAGUGAAGUCUCUCCAUCAAGGAUGACUCAGUUAUGGAUAGAGAAAUGUAACUAGAGAGUAGCCGAACAUAAGGAUAGGCUAGUGAGGUGAAGGCUGUCAUAGUCUCAGACUGCAUAUGGCCUUAGAAAAAAAUAUGAAGAACAACAACAACAACAGCGUGAUUCAUUCAAUGUGGGCUAGGACUAGAACCGUGAGCGCGAAUAAGUCUUUCCUUAAAUAUGGAGACUACGGAGUAUUUACACGUC